rnacentral:lncRNA from 1 species
GUACCUAGGGGAAAGUGCCAAAUGGCAUCAUUUGGUGCCAUCUGGUCUCAAGUAAUGAAUUUGAGGAUUUUGUAUGUUGAACAGUCAAGUCUCUUCUGUUCUAUUAUCCCACUUUUAUACUGCUGUCUGGUCAUAUUGCAGAUAUAUAUUUAUCUGUGGGUGUUGCUGUAAUCAUAUAGAUAUAUAUUUAUGUGUGGGUGUUGCUGUAAACAUAUAGAUGUAUAUUAAUGUGUGGGUGUUGCUGUAAUCAUAUAGAUAUAUAUUUAUGUGUGGGUGUUGUUGUAAUCAUAUAGAUGUAUAUUUAUGUGUGGGUGUUGCUGUAAUCAUAUAGAUAUAUAUUUAUGUGUGGGUGUUGUUGUAAUCAUAUAUAUAUUUAUGUGUGGGUGUUGCUGUAAUCAUAUAGAUAUAUAUUUAUCUGUGGGUGUUGUUGUAAUCAUAUAGAUAUAUAUUUAUGUGUGGGUGUUGCUGUAAUCAUAUAGAUAUAUAUUUAUGUGUGGGUGUUGUAAUCAUAUAGAUAUAUAUUUAUGUGUGGGUGUUGCUGUAAUCAUAUAGAUAUAUAUUUAUGUGUGGGUGUUGCUGUAAUCAUAUAGAUAUAUAUUUAUGUGUGGGUGUUGUUGUAAUCAUAUAGAUAUAUAUUAAUGUGUGGGUGUUGUUGUAAAUGAUAGUCACACAGUUGUUGACAGACAUAAAGGAGGGGGAACUGAUAGCUGUAUUGAUUCCUGGUAAAUAAUUGAUGACUAGUGAUUUAUAGUUGUUUAGAAUGAUGGUAUCUGUCUGGAGUACAGGGAGAGGAAUUCAGCACCUUCAACCCCUGACCUCUAGUCCCUGACCUCUAGCCCCUGACCUCUAGCCCCUGACCUCUGGUCCCUAACCUCUGGUCCCUGACCUCUGGUCCCUGACCUCUAGCCCCUGACCUCUAGCCCCUGACCUCUAGUCCCUGACCUCUAGCCCCUGACCUCUAGCCCCUGACCUCUAGUCCCUGACCUCUAGCCCCUGACCUCUACCCCUUGACCUCUAGCCCCUGACCUCUAGCCCCUGACCUCUGGUCCUUGACCUCUAGCCCCUGACCUUUGGUCCCUGACCUCUAGCCUCCGAACUCUAGCCCCUGACCUCUAGCCCCUUGAUCUCUAGUCCCUGACCUCUAGCCCCUGACCUCUAGUCCCUGACCUCUAGUCCCCGACCUCUGGUCCCUGAUCUCUAGCCCCUGACCUCUAGCCCCUGACCUCUAGUCCUUGACCUCUAGCCCCUGACCUCUAGCCCCUGACCUCUAGCCCUGACCUCUAGCCCCUGACCUCUAGCCCCUGACCUCUAGCCCCUGACAUCUAGUCCCUUGACCUCUAGCCCCUGACCUCUAGUCCCUGACAUCUAGCCUCUGAUCUCUGGUCCCUGACAUCUAGCCCCUGACCUCUUAAAAAAAAAUAUAUAUAUUUUUUUAAAUCAGCUCUUUCCAGCUAUAAUAGUCAUUUACAACAUUAACAAUAUCUACACUGUAUUUCUGAUCAAUUUUAUGUUAUUUUAAUGGACAAAAAAAAUGUGCUUUACUUUCAAAAAACAAGUACAUUUCUAAGUGACCCCAAAACUUUUGAACGGUCGUGUACGUUCUCCCGGUCAAGUUUUUAAAGUAACCAUUUCCUGCAGUCAAAUUACCUAGUAGCCUCAUGGGUGGAUUGUUAGUUUUUGUCAUAAUUGCAUAAUUAAUAAACAUUAAAAAAUGAAAAUAAUUUAACUCUGAAAAUCUGGUGUUUCUAUGUCAAAAC